GAUAUGGCUAGUACCCCUUCUUCAGUGUAAAGUGUCUGCUGCCCACACUACUGAAAGUGACGAGUGAGAAAACAGCAGUUAAGAAAGCAUUUGAUAACAGUAAUGUGGAUAUGUUCGCAUCAGCUUUGCAGUUCAGCACUCCAGUCCAACUGAACAGAUGAGAUGAGCUGGAUUUCCACAUCAAAGGAGGCGGAGCUCCAGAGCCACACCUACCUAUUACUUAAUUGCCAUGGACCAAUAGAAAUUCAAAGGUGCUUACCAGCGAAACCUUGCGGAAAGUUCACUUUGGCAAGCUGUUUUGAAGUCCUGAAACAAGCUCCAAAUGAACUUUUUUAAUGUCCUGAUUUUGUUCAAAUGUCACACCAAUUUGUUCUUUGAUUUCGCAGGUACUUUAGGGGUCAUUUAAAUCCAAAAACCUAAGUGUGCAAAAGUAAUACUGAUAUUUGCCUUAAAGGGAUAGUUCACCCAAAAAUGAAAAAUUCUGUCAUUAAUUACUCACCUUUAUGU